CUCUCUCUCUAUCUCUAUCUCUCUCUCUCUCUCUCUCCCUCUGGUUGUUGUUUUGGCUUAUUUUGUCUUUUCUAUUAAGACACUUAGUUUUGCUAUGUUAAACUGCAAGGCUCGCCUCAAACUCCUGGGUUAGAGAAUUUUCCUGCCUCAACUUUGCAAUUGCUGCUGUGGUGAUUUGCAUAGGUGUGGCCCCCAGAGACUCUUGUGUUUGAAUGUUUGACCCAUAGAGAGUGACACUUCUAGGAGGUGUGGCUUUAUUGGAGUAGGUGUGGCCUUAUUGGAAGAAGUGUGUCACUUGGAGCCAGGCAUUGAAUUCUCAUAAGUGCUCAAGCUACAUCCAGUGACCCAAUGUUCCUUCUGCUGACUUGGAUCAAGUUGUAGGGCUCCUCCAGCACCAUGUCUGCCUGCACGCUGCCAUGUUUCCCACCGUGAUGAUAAUGGACUAAACCUUUGAAACUGAGGACAGAACAUCUGCUUCUUCUGGAGGAUGUAGAUGGCUGCCCUCAAAGACACUGCUUCACUGUCACCUUGGCCUUGACUGUCCUGCCGUCCUGCCCUCCAGACCUCCAGAAGUGUGAUACAUAACUGUGCACUGCUGAUAAAUUACCCAGAUUGUAGUAUUUUGUUAUAGAAUCACAAAUAGGCUGGAGCAGACACACACACACACACACACACACACACACACACACACACACACACACACGGUAAAGGGGAAGAGAGGGGACUUAAACAUUGUAGGAUUUAAGAAGUAAUUAUUGAUAGGUACAAGGUAUAUCUUACUAUAAAACAUGUCUGCCUCUUAUUUUACUAGCAAUUUUCCACAAGAUAUAUUAUGAAGAGUCGAUGUUGUAAGAAUGACCCAGACUGUCUAGAUCAGUAUUUAUGGUGUCAGUCUUUAGCUAUUGGUGAUACCCAGUGCUGACCAAACAGGACGGAUGGAUACUGGCAGUAACAAUACAUCUCUCUUUAGUUAGAAAUUGUUUGUAGGUCUUGGAGGGAUCCUGGGUGGAUUAGUUUUUAUCCUACUUUUCUUUCCUUUCCUUUCCUUUCCUUUCCUUUUCUUUUCUUUUCUUUUCUUUUCUUUUCUUUUCUUUUCUUUUCUUUUCCUUCCUUCCUUCCUCCCUUCCCUUCCCUCCUCCUCUUUUCUCUCUCUCUCUCUCUCUCUCUCUCUCUCUCUCUCUCUCUCUCUCUCUCUCUCUCUCUCUCUGUCACACAAGUGAUCAUGGUUUUAUAAGAAAGCAGGCUGGGCAAGCCAGUAAGUAGCAUCUGCCCUUGGCCUCUACUUUAGCUCCUGCUCCCGACUUCAGAGUCUCUGACUUCUCUACUGUCUGGAAGUUAAGAUAAACCUUUUCCUCCUCAGGUUGCUUUUGGCCAUGGUCUGUCACAACAAUAGACUCAAACUAAGGCAGAUUCCUAUUCAGAGAAGAGCCGAGGCAGACAAGUGCAAAUGGAGGAAUUUAAAUAACUCUAGCAACUAUUUCACAACAGAUAGAGCACAUUAAAUGGGCUACCUAUAUUGUUUCUUAGUGUCUGGAGACACCUCCCCACAACACAAGAGCCUAUAUAACCAGAGAUACAAGGAGAGAGAGAGAGAGAGAGAGAGAGAGAGAGAGAGAGAGAGAGAGAGAGAGGAGAAGAGAAUAUAUAUUAUAUAUCCAUAUAUAUAUAUCCAUAUCUAUCUAUCUAUCUAUCUAUCUAUCUAUCUAUCUAUCUAUCUAUCUAUCUAUCUAUCUAUCUAUCCUCUUGCCAAUGCCCCUUAAACACAAUUAUAAGGAACAGUUUGCCAGAAAGUAUGGACCUGCCAAGGAACUGGAUCAUAGAAAAGACCCCAGCAACUCAGAAUGGAGAGAAUGUGGCCAGUGUGACGUCAUGAAUCUAUAACAGGCACGGGCUGUUUUUGGCAGUGUGUGGGUGAGUUGCCAAUUGCAUCAGCUUCUCUAUUAUUGCUCUUGACAAUACACAAUUAGUCAUCUCGAUUCCAUCAGACCGCACAGCAUUCUCAAAUCCACUUUGUAGUCAUUACGCUAUGUUACAAGCCCUGUACUGUGGAAAUAACUCACUGAAAGAUCCAUCAGUGGAAUGUUCAAGUGCCUAUAUGUAAAGGAAGAAGGCAGAAUCAGGCCUUUCAUAUGAGACUCAGUGAACUGCAGAGUGACCAGGACCACCAUAGGUUGUCGUCGUCUUCUGACCAAAGCUGAUCCAGAGCAGUCCCAGCCUCUCUCUUCUGUCACAUUUCCCAGGUCUCCAUAAGAUCCAGAUGUAGAACUCUCAGCUCCUCCAGCACCAUGUCUGCCAUCACGCCACCAUGCUUGCUGUCAUGGUGACAAUGAACUAAACCUCUGAACUGUAAGCCAGCCCCAAUUAAAUGUUUCCUUUAUAAAA